ensembl:lncRNA ZNF460-AS1 ZNF460 antisense RNA 1
CCUGAGUAGCUGGGAUUACAGGUGUGCGCCACCACGCCUGGCUAAUUUUAUAUUUUUAGUAGAGACAGGGUUCUUCCAUGUUGUUCAGGCUGGUCUCAAACUCCCGACCUCAGGUGAUCCACCCACCUCGGCCUCCCAAAGUGCUAGGAUUACAGACGUGAGCCACCCCCUCUGGCCAGACUCUUAUAAUUAAAUUUAAAUGGUUUUUUCAGAGGCAUAUGAACCAGAGCAACUCUAUCUUAAAUAGGAGCUGGGUAAAAUGAAGCUAAAACCUACUAGGCUGCAUUCCCAGACAGUUAAGGCAUUCUGAGUCACAGGAUGAGAUAGGAGGUCAGCACAAAAUACGGAUCAUAAAGACCUUGCUGAUAAAACAGGUUGCAGUAAAGGAGCUGGCCAAAACCACCAAAACCAAAAUGGUGACAAGAGUGACCUCUGGUCUUCCUCACUGCUACACUCCCAUCAGUGCCACGACAGUUUACAAAUGCCAUGGCAAUGUCAGGGAGUUACCCUAUGUGGUCUGAAAAGGGGAGGCAUGAACAAUCCACCCCUUGUUUAGCAAGUCACUAAGAAAUAACCAUAAACAUGGGCACCCAGCAACCCUUGGGGCUGCUCUGUCUAUGGAGUAGCCAUUCUUUAUUCCUUUACUUUCUUAAUAAACUUGCUUUCACUUGCACUGUGGACUCGCCCUGAAUUAUUUCUUGUGCGAGAUCCAAGAACCCUCUCUUGGGAUAUGGAUUGGGACCCCUUUCCUGUAACACAUUCCUGGCCACUACAGAAGAGACUAUACUGCAGGAACCCGUGACCCAAAGGCUAACUUUGGGUAAGUGGUGGGGUCGGGUAACACUUUUCUCGCAAACCACAAAAGGGACAAUGCUGAGGAGACCCCCCUGACUCAAAGGAAAUAGACUGCAGCACUGAUUGGAUGACUUUGGAAUGAAAAAAAGUAGUUUUCCUUUACAAUGAGGCUUGGCCCCCAGGGCGAUGGUGCCACAAGCCAGAUCACUGGGACCACUCAGAGAAAGGGAACACAGAAGCCUGGCAUGCCAGCAAAAAGGGUUUUUGUGAGCAGUGUCUUGCACCAAACUCCUGUCUCCUCCUGUGACUUAGAAUGCCUAACUUCCUGGGAAUGCAGCACAGGUCUCAGCCUCAUUUUGCCCAGCCCCUAUUCAAGACGGAUUUGCUGUGGUUCAAAUGCUUCUGACAAUAUUCCUCAUGGUGAAUGCUGGAUUUUGCAUGCCCGAGGCCCUGGGCCACACUGUAUGUUUGCUUUUUGCAAGGGCUGUAUGGCUAUGACUAGUUAUGUGGACCCUGCAUUCCUAUGUAAAUGACCCUCCAUAAAAACCCCAGAAAUGAAUGCUUGAGUGAACUUCCCUGGCUUGUAUUAUAAUACUGUGAACAUCUUGUCACACAUCUUUGCUGGGGGAAUUAAGUGUGUCCCUAUGUGACCGUAAUGGGAGAUAACACCCAGAGUUUUGUGCCUGCUUUCAUGUGGACUUCAUUCUAUGUGAUUUUUCCCUUUGGUGAUCCUGGUCUAUAUCCUUUUAUUGUAAUAA